UGAACGCUAGCGGGAGGCCUAACACAUGCAAGCCGAGCGGUAGAGUUUCUUCGGAAACUUGAGAGCGGCGCACGGGUGCGUAACACGUGUGCAACCUACCUUUAUCUGGGGGAUAGCCUUUCGAAAGGAAGAUUAAUACCCCAUAAUAUAAUGAUUGGCAUCAAUUAUUAUUGAAAACUCCGGUGGAUAGAGAUGGGCACGCGCAAGAUUAGAUAGUUGGUGAGGUAACGGCUCACCAAGUCAAUGAUCUUUAGGGGUCCUGAGAGGGAGAUCCCCCACACUGGUACUGAGACACGGACCAGACUCCUACGGGAGGCAGCAGUGAGGAAUAUUGGACAAUGGGUGAGAGCCUGAUCCAGCCAUCCCGCGUGAAGGAUGACGGUCCUAUGGAUUGUAAACUUCUUUUGUACAGGGAUAAACCUACUCUCGUGAGGGUAGCUGAAAGUACUGUACGAAUAAGCACCGGCUAACUCCGUG
rnacentral:rRNA from 1 species